UUAUGGAUGGCUCAGUUUGGUAGAGCAACGAAUCAACCUUUCGUCUGUCGCCGGUUCGAAUCCGGCUCCAUAAGCCA
rnacentral:tRNA from 1 species